rnacentral:rRNA from 1 species
UACGGGGGGGGCAAGCGUUGUUCGGAAUUACUGGGCGUAAAGGGCUCGUAGGCGGCCAACUAAGUCGGAUGUGAAAUCCCCAGGCUCAACCUGGGAACUGCAUCCGAUACUGGAUGGCUUGAAUUCGGGAGAGGGAUGCAGAAUUCCAGGUGUAGCGGUGAAAUGCGUAGAUAUCUGGAGGAAUACCGGUGGCGAAGGCGGCAUCCUGGACCGGCAUUGACGCUGAAGCGCGAAAGCUAGGGGAGCAAACGGG